ensembl:lncRNA ROCR regulator of chondrogenesis RNA
CUUCUUCCUGGGAUGCGGCACUUGCCUGUGAAGCCACAGGAGGCUGGAGGGGUAGAGGCUGGGGGCAGGAAGAGGAGGAACGGUUGAUUGCGAGGAGCAGCGGAAGGAAGGAUGUAUCAAACCGAAAGAAGAAAGAACCCCUGCCAGUCGCCCCCAUGACAUCCGACUCUGAACGGCAGCGAUCUAGAGGCUGUGGCGUGUUGCAGAUUAACAGCAGCGAGGGCAGGAGGCAAAUCAGAUGCCGCAGGAGCUGACUGUUUUCUUUAGCCCUGAGAGCUGACUGUAGGCACAGGUUGCAUAUCAAAGGCAACGGGAAUCAGUCUGUGGCAAUAUUACAUCAGGGGACAGCCACUAACCCCAGUAGCUGCAUGCUUUCUGCCACCUUCAUCUACCUGAGCAAAACUUCAAGGACAUGUUUAUGCUGAAUCUCCAGAGAGAGCAAUAGAAGCCCAGCUUGAGGGAAAUGACUGGACCUUGAUUACUUAGGAUAAAAAGAGAUCAAUUUAUGCCAUUCAACAAACAUAUAUCCAGCAUGUGCCUUGAGUAGGACAAGGCUGAACACUCUUUUUUUAGGGGUCCUGCUGUUGGCAGAGAAAGCUCCCAAGAGUUCUGCAGAGAAGAAGGAUAUAGACUCCAAAAUUUUACUUCCAGGGACCAUUUCAGUAGAGCCUUUUAAGACACAUGUUUUGGAAUACAGUCAAAUGCGUGCUGCUGUAUGACCAGCCUAUUUGAACUACUUAAGCAUCAACUAAUUAAUCUGCAAGUGAAGAAUACUUCCAGCAUUACUCUAUAAUUAGACAAUCUCAGGAGGAAACAAGAGGAUUUCAAAGGGGAGUCAGAUGGUUUCGCAGACCGCUACAUCAUUUAUUUUUUCAUCACUCAGAUUAUGCCUCCAAAUCCUACAGAAGUAUAACAACCAUAGAACAGACAAACACCAACAGCAUCAACAACAGAGAAACUCAGUCCAGGAGGAUAUGAAACCCUUUGUAAUAAAGAAAGCAACAUCCAUGAA